GAUGAACGCUGGCGGCGUGCCUAAUACAUGCAAGUCGAGCGAACAGACGAGGAGCUUGCUCCUCUGACGUUAGCGGCGGACGGGUGAGUAACACGUGGAUAACCUACCUAUAAGACUGGGAUAACUUCGGGAAACCGGAACUAAUACCGGAUAAUAUAUUGAACCGCAUGGUUCAAUAGUGAAAGACGGUUUUGCUGUCACUUAUAGAUGGAUCCGCGCCGCAUUAGCUAGUUGGUAAGGUAACGGCUUACCAAGGCAACGAUGCGUAGCCGACCUGAGAGGGUGAUCGGCCACACUGGAACUGAGACACGGUCCAGACUCCUACGGGAGGCAGCAGUAGGGAAUCUUCCGCAAAGGGCGAAAGCCUGACGGAGCAACGCCGCGUGAGUGAUGAAGGUCUUCGGAUCGUAAAACUCUGUUAUUAGGGAAGAACAAAUGUGUAAGUAACUAUGCACGUCUUGACGGUACCUAAUCAGAAAGCCACGGCUAACUACGUG
rnacentral:rRNA from 1 species